AGCAUACGGCCCGAGUUAUCCUACAGUCUCUAUGUUGGAGUCUCAUGGAGCGAUGUGCAGGACAGUGCUACUGUUAUUACUCGUAUACCAAUUUUCAAAAGGAAUGGAACAACCUCAGGCUCCGCAAGGGCCGGAGCAGCAGUUCAACCAGCUUCUCCAGAAUCAAGGGUUGGGCUACCUUGUGGCCGCAAACGCCGAUCCUGCUCAAGUAGAAGCGAGGGGCUGCAUCAAAGAGUGUCAUCAGUCGUUCGGAUUUGUAUACGUGCGUCAAAGAAACAAUUGGAUUCCCGUCGCAACAGGAACAGUCUUGAUCUGGGGUCUGUUUUUCGAAAACGAAUGCGUCUGCGAGCUGACCGGAAAUUUCAAGAGCCUCCUGGGAACGAGAUCCAGAAUAGCUUAUUAUAAUGCUAUUUUCAAAACCUCUGCGUGGGGCUUCAAAAGACUUGUGAGGGUGAAUUUCGAAUGGAGACCGUUCGAUGAUGGGCUGUUGUUCUGUCUCUGGCGCUCAGCACCUCAUCGCGGCCAGUCGCAAAUGGGUGGUUGACAGCGAAAUCUAGCCUCAUCCCGUUUUUUAUCCAUUUAUUUUAAUCCAAGUAUUGCGUUUAACACUAUGUGCUUACAUAUCUUAAAACCUAAAUUAAGAGGAAGAAUGAAUGAACUGGCAUUUUUUUUUUUUUUUUUUACCAUCAGCAAUUAAAGAGAUCCUUGGUGCAUGGGAAGCAACGUUUAGAAUAGAUCGUAUUCGAUAGUGGUUCGAUGUAUCGUUUGGUUCAAAACAAUAGAUCAGAACCUUAAACAAAAAGUUUAGGAUUUAAGUUGGAAAAACUAAAAAGGAUAAAAUUCCUAGUAAUUUUACUCUUCAUAGCCAUUUUGUACGUAUAGGUAUCAAAAAUCUAUGACAAAAAAACCGCUCCCUUGGAUUACUCAAUUGGCUUUUGAGGCUAUGUUUACAUAUUGAACCAAUCGAUAUCGAUACAAUCUUACCUCUUUGCUGUAUCGAUUACGAUCCAUGAGCAGUUAAGACCUUUCAGACAUGAAUCAGUUUGGAGAAUUUUUUUUGAUUUGGAGAAAAUCGAGAUCAGGGAGAGGCCAUUGUACAUUUUUUCAAGGUACGAUAUUUUUCUUCUUCUAAUCAAAAUAAAAAAGCUCCAUUCAAAAAACUUGCAGCUGAUACACUUAUAGCAUGACUUGUAUCCACAAAUAGCUAGAACCCGUUUCAAAUUACUUUUCCUUUUUUGCUAUAUGCGCGGGAUAGGGAAUUACACACAACAAAAGUGGAAAAGUAAUCUAGAACUGGCUCUACUUGAUGUCAUUUUGCAGGCUAAAACACGAGGAUAAUUAAAUAACAUUAGAUAAUUUAUGUCUCCAGUAAUAUCGUAAGAUAAUUUGUAACCAGAAUGGGGAAGGGAAGUUUUAUAUUUGACAAAUGGUUUUGGCAGUAAUAAUCCUCAUAUGUUUUUCAUAAAUAAGGCAACGCUUACUACCAUGGUAAUAAAUUUUCAUUUGACGCUUAAAGAAGAAACAAUAAGUGUAUUGACAUUAAUAUUAAACUAGAAGAAUAUUGUU
rnacentral:lncRNA from 1 species